rnacentral:rRNA from 1 species
UCAGGAUGAACGCUAGCGGCAGGCUUAACACAUGCAAGUCGAGGGGCAGCGUGGAGUAGCAAUACUCUGACGGCGACCGGCGAAAGGGUGAGUAACGCGUGAGCAACAUGGCCCGAUAGUGGAGGAUAGUCGAUGGAAACGUCGCGUAAUACUCCGUAACACAGGGAACCGCAUGAUUUUCUGUUAAUAGAUUUAUCGCUAUCGGAUUGGCUCGCGUACCAUUAGCUAGUUGGCGGGGUAACGGCCCACCAAGGCGACGAUGGUUAGGGGUUCUGAGAGGAAGGUCCCCCACAUUGGAACUGAGACACGGUCCAGACUCCUACGGGAGGCAGCAGUGAGGAAUAUUGGACAAUGGCCGGAAGGCUGAUCCAGCCAUGCCGCGUGGACCGGGGAAGACCGGCCCUAUGGGUUGUAAACCGUCUUUUGUUGGGGAGCAAUAAGUCCUACGUGUAGGAUGAUGAGAGUACCCAGCGAAUAAGCAUCGGCUAACUCCGUGCCAGCAGCGGC